UCGCGGGACUUCCGCCUCCGAGUCCCCGCCCUUUUACGGCACGAUGGUCGCACAAGAAUGUGAUCGCGCCUCGACGGCCGCCAUUUUCUCCCUUUCUUAGCAGUUAGCGGAGAGGGGACCUCCGCGAGGGCACGGCCGCGGCUGCUGGAGCGCGGGCAUGGCCGACUACUCGACAGUGCCUCCGCCCUCGUCGGGCGCGGCGGGCGGCGGCGGCGGCGGCGUGAACGACGCCUUCAAGGAUGCCCUGCAGAGAGCCCGGCAGAUUGCAGCAAAAAUUGGGGGUGAUGCUGGUACAUCAUUGAAUUCCAAUGACUAUGGUUAUGGGGGACAAAAGAGACCCUUAGAAGAUGGAGAUGGCUCUUGGACAAAUCCGAGCAGUACAACACACUGGGAGGGAAUGCCCUCUCCUUUUAAAGAUCAACCAGAUGCUAAGAAAGUUGCUCCCCAAAAUGACUCUUUUGGAGCACAGUUACCUCCGAUGCAUCAGCAGCAAAGCAGGUCUGUAAUGACAGAAGAAUACAAAGUUCCAGAUGGAAUGGUUGGAUUUAUAAUUGGCAGAGGAGGUGAACAGAUCUCACGCAUACAGCAGGAAUCUGGAUGCAAAAUACAGAUAGCUCCUGAUAGUGGUGGCCUUCCAGAAAGGUCAUGUAUGCUGACUGGAACACCUGAAUCUGUCCAAUCAGCAAAAAGAUUACUGGACCAGAUUGUUGAAAAGGGAAGACCAGCCCCUGGCUUUCAUCAUGGUGAUGGACCUGGAAAUGCAGUUCAGGAAAUCAUGAUUCCAGCCAGCAAGGCAGGACUUGUUAUUGGAAAAGGGGGAGAGACUAUUAAACAACUUCAGGAACGGGCAGGUGUUAAAAUGGUUAUGAUUCAAGAUGGGCCUCAAAAUACUGGUGCUGAUAAACCUCUUAGGAUUACGGGUGACCCAUACAAAGUUCAGCAAGCCAAGGAAAUGGUAUUAGAGCUAAUUCGUGAUCAAGGUGGUUUCAGAGAAGUGCGGAAUGAGUAUGGCUCAAGAAUAGGAGGAAAUGAAGGGAUAGAUGUCCCAAUUCCAAGAUUUGCUGUUGGCAUUGUAAUAGGAAGAAAUGGAGAAAUGAUCAAAAAAAUACAAAAUGAUGCUGGUGUUCGAAUUCAGUUUAAGCCAGACGAUGGAACAACACCUGAUAGGAUAGCACAGAUAACAGGACCUCCAGACAGAUGUCAGCAUGCUGCAGAGAUCAUCACAGACCUUCUACGGAGCGUUCAGGCUGGUAAUCCUGGUGGACCUGGACCUGGUGGUCGAGGACGAGGUAGAGGUCAAGGCAACUGGAAUAUGGGACCACCUGGUGGACUACAGGAAUUUAAUUUCAUUGUGCCAACUGGGAAAACUGGAUUGAUAAUUGGAAAAGGAGGUGAAACCAUAAAAAGCAUAAGCCAGCAGUCUGGUGCAAGAAUAGAGCUUCAGAGAAAUCCUCCACCUAAUGCAGAUCCUAAUAUGAAGUUAUUUACAAUUCGUGGCACUCCACAGCAAAUAGACUAUGCUCGGCAACUCAUAGAAGAGAAGAUUGGGGGCCCAGUAAAUCCUUUAGGGCCACCUGUACCCCAUGGACCCCAUGGGGUUCCAGGUCCUCAUGGGCCUCCUGGGCCUCCAGGGCCUGGAACUCCAAUGGGACCAUACAAUCCUGCACCUUACAAUCCAGGACCGCCUGGCCCAGCUCCGCAUGGUCCUCCAGCCCCAUAUGCUCCCCAGGGAUGGGGAAAUGCAUAUCCGCAUUGGCAGCAACCAGCUCCUCCUGACCCAGCUAAGGCAGGAACAGAUCCAAACUCAGCAGCUUGGGCUGCUUAUUAUGCUCACUAUUACCAACAGCAGGCCCAGCCCCCACCUGCAGCUCCCACAGGUGCACCAGCUACAACCCAAACUAACGGACAAGGUAACUACGGAGAUCAGCAGAAUCCAGCUCCAGCUGGACAGGUUGAUUAUACAAAGGCUUGGGAAGAGUACUACAAGAAAAUGGGUCAAGCAGUUCCUGCUCCUACUGGGGCCCCACCAGGUGGUCAGCCAGAUUAUAGUGCCGCCUGGGCUGAAUACUAUAGACAACAAGCAGCAUACUAUGCCCAGACAAGUCCACAAGGAAUGCCGCAGCAUCCUCCAGCACCUCAGGUUUGAUCCAGCCAGUAUAGAACUAGCUCUGUAGGGGUGAGGAGGACUGUGCUGUGUAUCAUCCUUGAUUGUGUUCCUUCAAGGAGCAUUGCACUUGCCUUCCCAGACCUUCCACCUUAGGUUCUGCUGCAAAAAGCAACAGGUAAGCACAACCUAAGGACAUAUAUAUAAAUAUAUCAGUACAUUAAUGUUGUCCCUGUGAGGUUUUUUGUGGUUGUGUACUCAAAAGCAAUCUGCUACUGCUUCCCCAAAUGUAUUUUGUUAUUUAUGCUACCAUUCUAGUGGAAAGUCUGUUAAGUUGUUCAAGCAGCUGUUUAUAAUUUUGGGUAAUGGUUUUUAUUUUAAUUUUUUCAUUAAAAUAAAAUGAGUAGAUUGCUGCUAUAACUGAAAAAAUCCAAAUCUUUUUGUGCCCCCCUCCCCCAAGUUAUAGAAGUGUUGCAGUAAGAACAGUUUAAUAGUUAAAAGACUUAGAAAAUCAUUUGGUCAGAAAUUUCAACAGCCUUCACAGCCUGUUUGUGUAACUGACAGGACAUUUUGUCAUCCAAACCUAUGGGGUUUUUGUUUUAUUUUUCCUCCUUUAUUAUUACUGCUUUAAAGUAUAGUAAUUCAGUAAGAAAAUUGUGGGUUAGUUUCCUAGACAGUUCUGUUUUUAUGUCUUGUUUGCUGAUAAGGAAGAAUAAGGAAUACUGGCAGUAAGUUUUGAAAAAAGGCAUGUGCAUCAGUGAAAUGUUAACUGUGUAACAAAUAACCUUUCAUAGUCUGCAUAACCAGUUUCUGAUUUACUAUAUUUUAAUAUAACUGACGCUGCAUUUACUUUUUGCCAGUUAAAAUGUUUGUGUUCUUAGGAAUGAUGUUUAACUAGUACAUAUUUUGACUUAAGAUGACUGUCUUAAAGCAGCACUAUAUCAGUUUUGUUUUUAUUCAGUUUCUAAAAUGUGCUGAUCCUAUUAAAAACUCCUGCUUAUCUUUACAACAAAGAAAAAUAUUCAAAAAUACUGCCUUCAUUUUCACACACAGUGCUGAAGAUGCUGCAAGCACCAAAUCAUAGCUCAUAAAAUCAGGUCCUGAGAUAGUUACCCAUAAAGAGGAAUCCUUUGAGUGUAUGCCAUUGGUGAGCCGAUGAGCAUGGACCAUAGAAGGGCUCAAUGUAGAAGGUAAAAUUGGCAAAUCAUAAUUGAGAAGUAUGAAAUGUAUUCCCAUACAUAAUAUGGUAUAGGGUGUAAUGUACCUGCUCUUGAUCACUUUUCAUUUUAAAGUGCUAUUCACUUAAAUGUUCCAUGAACUGUUAAGUUUGAAUUUAUAUAGUUAUUGCACACACACACUGUGUGUGUUGUGUGUUUGGUGGGUGGUGUGUGUGUGUGUGUGUGUGUGUGUGUGUGUGUGUGUGUGUGAGAGAGAGAGAGAGAGAGAGAGAGAGAGAGAGAGAGAGAGAGAGAGAGAGAUUGGGUCAGUAUUUUCAAAGCAGAUUUAGAGCCUGUGAAGUUUUGGUUAGUUGUAGUUUGGGUUUGGAAAUCUGGAUGAAUGAUUAUAGAUACUGGGGAUUGUUUCUAUCUUGUGAGAAAUUUUAAUUCAUUACCAUGAACCUUCACUGGUACUUUAACAUUUUAAAUAACACCAAUCUUAACCUUGAAGUAACUGGAAAGCAGAACAGGUGAGCCAGUUGAUUGAAUCCAGCAGAUUUUAAGGGUGGUAGAAAAAUUGAAUGGUUUAGAUUGAAAUUAAACUCAUUUAAUACUUAAACAAGUUUACAGGUUUUUUUUAAUGACAUACAUGUUAGUGUAGUGGUAACUUAGAAUUCUUUGCUUUCUUUGAUGUUUGUUUCAGAAAUGCGUGUGCUUGUUUUUUAGUAAUGAGAAUCCUUUUAAUAUUAAACUAGUGAUUUGAUACUAGUUGUAAAGUGUAUUCUUAAACAAAUAUCCUGGUAGUUAAUUCAUUAAAGUGGGUUGAGAUAGGCGUAGUGAGGGCUCUCAGAGGGAAGUUUUCAUUCACUUGAAUGCUUUGCCAAUACAACCAGUUCUUCCUGAAAGUAGUUGUAUGUUGUCUAGAAUAUUGAUGUAGAAUUAACUGAUCGCUGGAGAUGUCUCAUUUUUAUUUCUUCAAAUUCUGCCUGGCUUAAAAUGCAUUCUCAUAAUACUUAGAGAUAAUUUGACCAAAAUUAACCUUUUUUUUUUUUUUUAAUUAGUCAGUUGGCUUUAGUUGAGGAAUUUUUAAUUGGUACUUUAAAGAAGCAAAACCCAGGGUUUUAUUUUCUUCAGUGAUACCCUAAAGAAACUCUUUAAUGUAUUUGCAAAUAUAUACAUAUAUAUAUAUUUUCUUAUGCAUGCUCGAUGCAUUUUCGUCCUGAGAAAAGUGUUCUCUACAGAAACUACCCGUGUGUUAAAAGAAGAUUGGCUUAAAAUGGCUACUGUGAUGGGAACAGUGUCUUAGGGAGAUGCAGCUUGGACUUGAGGUAAAUUGAAUACUUUACAAACUGGUUUAGAGUUUUGCUUUAAUGACAUUGUAUGUAAAAGGGCACGUGAUAUUGUAAUUUUGUAUUCUUCAUGGUUUCCUUAAUUUAAAAAAAUAAAUGUACAGUGAUGACUACUCUGA